CGCCUUCCUUAUUACACCAUGUCCAAAAAAAAAAGCUAAUCUAAGCUAUGAUCUAUGAAUUACAAAAGUCAUAUAUAAAGUCUUCAAACUUGUUCUUGUACUUCAUGUUUCCUCGUUAUCUUGUGUUCUCUUAUUGCCUUGUCUUGUGUUCUCCCGGUGAAAUCCGCUGUUAUCACUUCGAAUUGUAAACUGAGAUGUUGUCACUUUUCUUCAAACUGCUGAACUUGAAUAUAUUCUUAUGUGUCCAGACAGGCUCCUGACUUCUGAACUUGAACUUAAAUGUAUUCCUCUGUUCUCCAGGCGGGCUCCUGACUUCACCAAAAUAGACAAAAUAAAGAAAACUUUCUGCCCCAGUUUGGAAACUGGGUACAUGUUACUGGAUGAGAUUUUAAAAACUAAAACUUGAGUUGUAAUGCCUGUGUUCUUCAGGCGGGCUCCUGACUUCAAACAUGAAUUUAUUCCUCUGUUCUCCUUGCGGGCUCCUGACUGUUGAACUUGAAAUUGAAUGUAUUCCUCUAUUCUCCAAAACAAAGAAAAUUGUUCUGCCCCAGUUUGGAAACUGGGUACAUGUUACCAGAUAUCAAUAAGAUUUUGAAGACUAAAACUUGAAUUGUGAUACCUCUGUUUUUAGGCGGGCUUCUAACUGCAAAAUUUGAACUGUAUUCCUCUAUUCUCCUAGCGGGCUCCUGACGUCAAACUUGAAAUGUAUUCCUCUAUUAUCUAGUGAUUUCUAGUGUUAACUACAAUAUUCUUUUGUCAAAAAUGCUUAAACUAGCAACUAAUGAGUCUAAACUAAAGUACCCUACCUGAACAACACUAGCAAACCAACGAAUGCAAACUAAAAUCAGACAAUGGCCAAACCAACUUAGUAGAGCAGAUUAAUUAGGAAUUAUAGAAUAUAACAUGUAUUAAAACAUCAAUUAAGCUAAUCACCUAGAAUUAUCAAAGCAGGUUUAGACUAAUUAAGCAAAACUAAAUUAGAAACUAAAACAAUGAUGGAAUCAGAAUAAAACCACUUUUGAACGAAAUUGAAACUUAUUGAUAUUCAGAUUAACAAUUAUGAACAACCAACAUUAAUAUGCAAGCAAGAAGCCAAGACAGACAUGAAAAUAAACUAAUACCAGAAGAUGAAGAAGAAGAAACUCACUGACUCGACUUCAAGAUUCCGGCCAAUUCUCAAAAUUCAAAUCCGGCCACCUCUGGUAAAAUGUGAGCUCUACUGAUGACAAAUUCACUACGAGGAAGGUUAGAGGGUUAUUUGGUAUCAAAUUGGUGAAGUUUGGGGCAAUUAGGGUUUUGGCCAGAAAAUGUUCAAAUUGAGAUUCGAACAGUUCUAGGCAGAUUCGAGACAAACUGGCCGGGGAUUUGGAUAGGUAAGGGGAAAGGGACCCAAGGUGUUAAUUUGGACCGAUUCGGGCGAGGUAGUGUCUUGGAAAGAAAAUAUUCAAUGCGAUAUUUGACGCGUUCAGUAAGAUUCGAAGGAAAAAGGAUUGUGGUUUCGGAUAGAGGAGUGAAAGUGGAGUUCAGGAUGUUAUUUUGAGGUCAAAUGGAGAUGGGCCGCCGCCGUGGACGACUUCCGGCGGCGGCAUUACACAGGGUCUGUGAGGGUUGAUUUGGGACGAUGAAACCGGGGGGGAGGGGGAGGGGGUAAUUCCGAUAUUAAUAAAUCCUUAGGACCCAUAGUUAACAGCCGUUAGAUCAUUAGACCUCGACAUCU
rnacentral:lncRNA from 1 species